CCUACGGGUGGCAGCAGUGAGGAAUAUUGGUCAAUGGACGAGAGUCUGAACCAGCCAAGUAGCGUGAAGGAUGACUGCCCUAUGGGUUGUAAACUUCUUUUAUAUGGGAAUAAAACGUUCCACGUGUGGGAUUUUGUAUGUACCAUAUGAAUAAGGAUCGGCUAACUCCGUGCCAGCAGCCGCGGUAAUACGGAGGAUCCGAGCGUUAUCCGGAUUUAUUGGGUUUAAAGGGAGCGUAGGUGGAUUGUUAAGUCAGUUGUGAAAGUUUGCGGCUCAACCGUAAAAUUGCAGUUGAAACUGGCAGUCUUGAGUACAGUAGAGGUGGGCGGAAUUCGUGGUGUAGCGGUGAAAUGCUUAGAUAUCACGAAGAACUCCGAUUGCGAAGGCAGUUCACUGGACUGCAACUGACACUGAGGCUCGAAAGUGCGGGUAUCAAACAGGAUUAGAUACCCUAGUAGUC
rnacentral:rRNA from 1 species